UCUAUUUGAGGCAUCGAGAUAUUUCUCCA
rnacentral:sRNA from 1 species